rnacentral:rRNA from 1 species
UGGUGAGUAACGACGUGGGUGACACACCUCAGAUGGGGAUAGCUAUUAGAAAUAGUAGAUAAUACCGAAUACGAGCACAGGGGUUAGAGAUCUGUGAGGAAAGGAGCUAAGGCUCCGCUGAAGGAAUGGCCUGCGGCCCAUUAGCUAGUUGGUGAGGUAAGAGCCCACCAAGGCGAUGAUGGGUAUCCGGCCUUAGAGGGUGAACGGACACAUUGGGACUGAGAUACGGCCCAGACUCCUACGGGAGGCAGCAGCUAAGAAUCUUCCGCAAUGGGCGAAAGCCUGACGGAGCGACGCCGCGUGAACGAAGAAGGCCGUGAGGUUGUAAAGUUCUUUUCGGGAGGGGGAACAACCGUGGCAGGGAAUGGCCGCGGGAUGACGUGAAUCCCGGAAUAAGCCCCGGCUAACUACGUGCCAGCAGCAGC